GACCUGGUGGUGAAUGGAUCACACCCACUUUCCAUGAAAGGUCGGCCAGGAUAUGUAAGGUGGGAGCUCCCGGUUCAAUUCCGGGUUAGGUCA